ACCCCCUGGCAGUGGACAAAGAGACACCUUGUUGGUGGUAGUGUUCUUAGUCAAGGGCAGAGCAGAUGGCAGUCCUUUGUUCAUCCUAGCUUGAUGCCUGGCUUAGAGGCCAAAGCUGUCUCAUGCCUAGGGCACAUAA